GAUGAAGAACGCAGCGAAAUGCGAUAAGUUAUGUGAAUUGCAGAAUUCAGUGAAUCAUCGAAUCUUUGAACGCACAUUGCGCCCCCUGGUAUUCCGGGGGGCAUGCCUGUUCGAUCGUCAUUUCACCACUCAAGCCUCGCUUGGUAUUGGGCAACGCGGUCCGCCGCGUGCCUCAAAUCGUCCGGCUGGGUCUUCUGUCCCCUAAGCGUUGUGGAAACUAUUCGCUAAAGGGUGUUCGGGAGGCUACGCCGUAAAACAACCCCAUUUCUAAGGUUGACCUCGGAUCAGGUAGGGAUACCCGCUGAACUUAAGCAUAUCAAUAAGCGGAGGA
rnacentral:misc_RNA from 1 species